rnacentral:rRNA from 1 species
UACAUGGGGUGCAAACGUUGCUCGGAAUUAUUGGGCGUAAAGCGCACGUAGGCGGUUCGUUAAGUCGGAUGUGAAAGCCCUCGGCUCAACUGAGGAAGUGCACCCGAAACUGGCGAGCUUGAGUACGAAAGAGGAUCGCGGAAUUCCCGGUGUAGAGGUGAAAUGCGCAGAUAUCGGGAAGAACACCCGUGGCGAAGGCGGCACUCUGGGACGGUACUGACGCUGAGACGCGAAAGCGUGGGGAGCGAACAGG